AUUGAACGCUGGCGGCAGGCCUAACACAUGCAAGUCGAACGGUAACAGGAAGAAGCUUGCUUCUUUGCUGACGAGUGGCGGACGGGUGAGUAAUGUCUGGGAAACUGCCUGAUGGAGGGGGAUAACUACUGGAAACGGUAGCUAAUACCGCAUAACGUCGCAAGACCAAAGAGGGGGACCUUCGGGCCUCUUGCCAUCGGAUGUGCCCAGAUGGGAUUAGCUAGUAGGUGGGGUAACGGCUCACCUAGGCGACGAUCCCUAGCUGGUCUGAGAGGAUGACCAGCCACACUGGAACUGAGACACGGUCCAGACUCCUACGGGAGGCAGCAGUGGGGAAUAUUGCACAAUGGGCGCAAGCCUGAUGCAGCCAUGCCGCGUGUAUGAAGAAGGCCUUCGGGUUGUAAAGUACGUUCAGCGGGGAGGAAGGGAGUAAAGUUAAUACCUUUGCUCAUUGACGGUACCCGCAGAAGAAGCACCGGCUAACUACGUG
rnacentral:rRNA from 1 species